UACGGAGGAUGCAAGCGUUAUCCGGAUUCAUUGGGUUUAAAGGGUGCGUAGGCGGAAUAUUAAGUCAGUGGUGAAAUCCUGCAGCUUAACUGUAGAACUGCCAUUGAUACUGAUAUUCUUGAAUGUAGUUGAGGUGGGCGGAAUAUGUAAUGUAGCGGUGAAAUGCUUAGAUAUUACAUAGAACACCGAUUGCGAAGGCAGCUCACUAAGCUAUGAUUGACGCUGAGGCACGAAAGCGUGGGGAGCGAACAGG
rnacentral:rRNA from 1 species